rnacentral:tRNA from 1 species
GUGGGUAUGGCUCCGUGGUAGAGCACAUGCUUAGCAUGCACAAGGUCCUGGGUUCAAUCCCCAGUACCUCCU